UACGAAGGGGGCGAGCGUUGUUCGGAUUUACUGGGCGUAAAGGGCGCGCAGGCGGUUCUGUUUGUCGAGUGUGAAAGCCCCGGGCUCAACCUGGGAACUGCGCUCGAAACGGCGGAACUAGAGUUCGGGAGAGGAGAGUGGAAUUCCCAGUGUAGAGGUGAAAUUCGUAGAUAUUGGGAAGAACACCGGUGGCGAAGGCGGCCAUCUGGACCGCAACUGACGCUGAGGCGCGAAAGCGUGGGGAGCAAACAGG
rnacentral:rRNA from 1 species